rnacentral:rRNA from 1 species
UACGUAGGGGGCUAGCGUUGUUCGGAUUUACUGGGCGUAAAGCGCACGUAGGCGGAUCGUUAAGUCGGGGGUGAAAUCCUGGAGCUCAACUCCAGAACUGCCUUCGAUACUGGCGAUCUUGAGUCCGGAAGAGGUGAGUGGAACUCCUAGUGUAGAGGUGGAAUUCGUAGAUAUUAGGAAGAACACCGGUGGCGAAGGCGGCCCACUGGCUCGACACUGACGCUGAGGUGCGAAAGCGUGGGGAGCAAACAGG